rnacentral:rRNA from 1 species
GACGAACGCUGGCGGCGUGCCUAACACAUGCAAGUCGAGCGAGUGAAUCUCCUUCGGGAGUGAAGCUAGCGGCGGACGGGUGAGUAACACGUGGGCAACCUGCCUCAUAGAGGGGAAUAGCCUUUCGAAAGGAAGAUUAAUACCGCAUAAGAUUGUAGCUUCGCAUGAAGUAGCAAUUAAAGGAACAAUCCGCUAUGAGAUGGGCCCGCGGCGCAUUAGCUAGUUGGUGAGGUAACGGCUCACCAAGGCGACGAUGCGUAGCCGACCUGAGAGGGUGAUCGGCCACAUUGGGACUGAGACACGGCCCAGACUCCUACGGGAGGCAGCAGUGGGGAAUAUUGCACAAUGGGGGGAAACCCUGAUGCAGCAACGCCGCGUGAGUGAUGACGGCCUUCGGGUUGUAAAGCUCUGUCUUCAGGGACGAUAAUGACGGUACCUGAGGAGGAAGCCACGGCUAACUACGUGCCAGCCGCCGCGGUAAAAC